rnacentral:rRNA from 3 species
GGACUACCCGGGUUUCUAAUCCCGUUUGCUCCCCUGGCUUUCGCGCCUCAGCGUCAGGAGGGGUCCAGCACCUCGCCUUCGCCACCGGAGUUCCUGUGAAUAUCAACGCAUUUCACCGCUCCACUCACAGUUCCAGAUGCCCCUACCCCCCUCGAGGCCGCCCGUAUCCGGGGCAGUUCCACGGUUGAGCCGUGGGAUUUCACCCCGGACGCGGCAGCCCGCCUACGCGCCCUUUAAGCCCAGUGAUUCCGAACAACGUUCGCUCGGUUCGUCUUACCGCGGCUGCUGGCAC